CGAAAUUCGGUGGUCACAUUCAUCGCCAACGAGGCAUUAUCAAGGACGACGAUGCAUCGUCGCGAAGUCUAACAACUUGGAGGAGCUCGGAGUAGCGAUAUUUUGCGGUAGAAGCAGAGGCCAACAGCAGCGGUCUGUCGAGCGGUGUCAGUCAAGAUGUGUGACCGACGGAAACAGACCUGGGCUGCCGUUUUCAUCGGCAAUGUGUUGAUCCACACCGUUGCUAUCGCCAGUCCGAUCUAUGUUCCUCAAUUUCAACCAGGAAGCACGGGAAGAAACAUCAGGCACUUACCCUGCGUGUCACGCAGGAGCGGCGAGACCGGCGUGUGCAUGUUCGCGUUUACCUGCGCGAAGGCUAAUGGCACGCAUCUCGGCACCUGCAUCGAUCGCUUCUACUUCGGUAGCUGUUGCAAGAUCGACGACGAGCCGGACAUCUUCCCGCAGGACAACAGCAUCGACGAUGGUCCACCGCCGCCAAGGCCGUUCAUCACGACGCACGGACCUAGCGGGAGUAGCGGCAUACCGGAAUACUUCGCGAGGCCCAAGCCGACCGACGCGAAGAAACCGGCCGAAGCUUCGCAAAUCACGACAACACCUAUCUUUUUGAGUACGCAAAGUACUCAAACUUCGGCGAAUACGAUGAAAGAUGCAACCAAGUUUAUAACAAAGAAACCAACGAUUACGACGAUAGAAAUGACUACGCAGACUACUCGCCUCUCAACGUUCCAAACCGUGCAAAGUACUGGCCCGAGUACAGAAGCCACGUCAUUAAAAAAGACCAACAGUACUGUAAAUAUGCCAUCAAGUAUAUCAUCAAGUACGACAGGACAACCUACGAAGCCGUCCACUUUGGCCUCUACCCUACGACCUAACGGCGGGAAUAUAACAAAACUGACAUCUACCACAACAGUUUCGAAACCGACAACGAAGAAACCUGUUGUCUCUACGACCACAGUGCAAAGACCAACGGCGCAAGUCUCUCAGAAACCGCUCUCUUCGACUACUCGCAAGCCGAUUCUUCAAUCAACCACGACUACAAUAAAAAAUGUUCUCGCGACUACCACGCAGAAAAUAGCUCCUUCAACCAGAUUUCCACCGAGAAAUACGACGUCGGUCAAACCACUGACUCAGGCGAUCACGAGGAAACCAAGCACCAAAAGACCUAGCACCACAGUAAUAACGAAACGCCCGGUGGUGACCACGAAGAAACCGACCACAUUGACAAAGAGACCGUCGACUCCGUCGAAGCUUCCCACGAACUCCAGUUUUGGCACUACUCUGCCAGUAACGACCAAGCCUCACUCAACCUCCAGUUUGUUCAGCAGCGUGGGAUCUUCCAGUGCGAACGUCACGGAGAGUACUUUAGCUUCUACCGGGAUUAAACCAUUAACGACGACGACGAGUGCAACUAGUGAAAAAACCACCACUACGACAAAGAAUACAGAUCAGAAGACGACCACCACGAAAACGACAACGCCAAAGACAACUUCGAAAACGACAACAAAAUCAUCGACAAUCAGAACGACCACUGCCAGGCCGACGACAGUUAAAACAACGACUGGCAGCAGAACGACCACGUCUAGACCGUCGUCAUCUGCCACGACGAAGUUGAAACCCACUAAGAUUACUAGUACGACAACAAAGACUACUAAACCCGAGUAUAUCAGCACUACGACGACGGAGAGGACGAGACCUUUGUCGUCAACUGUCGGUUCAACAAUUGGCAUUACGAAACCUAGACCCAGCACGACGAAGCCAACAUCCUUGAUGAAGGUUCCUGUGAACACGUCCAGUAUAGUCGAGGUCACCACGAGUAUCUCAAGUUCGAUAUCCACGUUUAUCGUUAAGAACGAGAGCACCUCGACCCACGUGCCUCCUACUAAGGAUCAGAAUGUUAAUCACACCCUCGAGGAGAUCCCAUUGACUACCUAUUCACCAGGAUUGGUGACGUGGAGUUCUAACUCCGAUGAAGUUUCCACGAAGGCGUCCGAAACAUCAUCGUCAACGUCAACGAUAACUACAUCGUCAGAGCAAGCGGAAACUGAUUGGUCGCCGAUAACGACCCCGGAUGGUUGGAUAAUGAUUCAGUCGCCUACCACCGAAAACUUACCGCAGACUCAAGAGUCGACGACCGAACCGGUUGCGGAAUCCACUAUACAGUCUUUGACUUCUGCCAAACCGAUAACAGAGAGCACCAUUAUGGCCAACGCCACGAAGAGACCAAUGGUGCCAUCGACCACUCUGCCGUCAACGAUCCACGGUGUUACGAUCGAUACGGAACUUCCGGUACCGAUGGAGACUCUCAAUAUGUCUGACUAUAAACAAGUGUGCGGGCGAAGGCUGUUUCCGGAACCCAAAAUCGUCGGUGGUGAUCGAAGCUCCUUCGGAAAAUGGCCUUGGCAGAUCUCAUUACGUCAAUGGCGAUCACAGACGUAUCUACACAAAUGUGGCGCGGCAUUGUUGAACGAGAACUGGGCUAUUACCGCGGCGCACUGCGUUGAAAGCGUACCACCCAGCGAUCUAUUGUUAAGAAUCGGCGAGCACGAUUUGGCGAACGAAGAUGAGCCGUAUGGCUAUCAGGAGAGAAGGGUGCAGAUCGUGGCAAGCCACCCGCAAUUCGACGCGCGUACUUUCGAGUACGAUCUUGCCCUGUUGCGAUUCUACGAACCCCUUCUGCCCUUCCAACCAAACGUUUUGCCAAUCUGUUUGCCCGACGAUGAUGAAACCUACGUUGGACGUACCGCCUAUGUUACUGGCUGGGGGAGACUUUACGAUGAGGGUCCACUGCCGUCCGUGUUACAAGAGGUUGCAGUACCGGUUAUCAAUAACAGCGUAUGCGAAGCGAUGUACAGAAAUGCGGGUUACAUUGAACAUAUCCCACACAUAUUUAUCUGUGCCGGUUGGAGGAACGGCGGAUUUGAUUCUUGUGAGGGUGACAGCGGUGGUCCAAUGGUCAUCCAAAGAGCGCGAGAUAAACGAUGGAUUCUGGCUGGAAUUAUCAGUUGGGGAAUUGGCUGCGCCGCGCCCAACCAGCCUGGCGUUUACACGCGUAUCUCGGAGUUUCGCGAAUGGAUUAAUCAGAUUCUGCAGUUCUAAGCAUCUCGGUGAAAAAGCGUGCCCACGCUCGAAAUUCGCGCUUUCAUGUUGCGCCGACUCCUACGAACGUUUGUAACGAUCGCCAGGCGGACGGACGGCACCAUCUGCCGGAGCUGCGAGCCAAGUGCAAUUUAGUGGAAAAAUAUUGAAACUUCCGGAAUGUUGCCUUCAUCUACCUAUCAUUUCCGGCUUUUACGUGCACGCAUAAUUAUCGAGUCUACAGUGCGAAAAAUAAGCAAAUUAUAAUCACUAAAUUAAUUAACACGAUUGAUAUCGCCUGAUGCACGUAAUCAACAAGUUAAAUUAGCGAAUAAAUUUAUUUCAAAUCUAGAUAAGCAUUCGCAAUAUCGGCAUUGAAAAAUUAAAGAAUAAACAUCAGAAAUUAGGUCAAUGUCCGUAUAAUUAAACUCGACAUUAAUAAACUUGCUUUAAAAAAUAAGAAUUAUCUCUGAGUAUUAUUAAAUUACAACGUUAUUGAAAAAUCCCUUAUGCUCAUUAUUCCCAUCUAAUUUAGUUAUCUUUAAUUUUACUCAGACACUUUUUACCUUAUAUUCAAGAUACGUUAGCAUAAUAUUUUUCAAACCUGUAAUAAAAGAUAGUCAAGGUUAUAAUUACGUAUUUAAAACGCUAUUGUGCCAAGAAAAAAUUGUUGUCAUAAAUAUGAAAAGAAAUGAAAAGCUCUCGCUAAUAUAUUCCAAAUUAUAAGUUCCAAAUUAUAGUUCUCGAUAUUUUCACAAAUCCAUCAUGAAACUUGUUCAAAAA